AACGAACGCUGGCGGCAUGCCUAACACAUGCCAGUCGAACGAGACCUUCGGGUCUAGUGGCGCACGGGUGCGUAACGCGUGGGAACCUGCCCUUAGGUUCGGAAUAACUCCCCGAAAGGGGUGCUAAUACCGGAUAAUGUCUUCGGACCAAAGAUUUAUCGCCUUUGGAUGGGCCCGCGUUGGAUUAGCUAGUUGGCAGGGUAAAAGCCUACCAAGGCGACGAUCCAUAGCUGGUCUGAGAGGAUGAUCAGCCACACUGGGACUGAGACACGGCCCAGACUCCUACGGGAGGCAGCAGUGGGGAAUAUUGGACAAUGGGCGAAAGCCUGAUCCAACAAUGCCGCGUGAGUGAUGAAGGCCUUAGGGUUGUAAAGCUCUUUUACCCGGGAUGAUAAUGACAGUACCGGGAGAAUAAGCUCCGGCUAACUCCGUG
rnacentral:rRNA from 1 species